GCAGAGGGAGACAUACCAAGAGAGGGGACACAAGCAGGGUGAAUGGGAGAGGGAGAAGCAGCCUUCCCACUGAGCAAGGAGCCUGAUGCAGGGCUCAGUCCCAGGAACCUGGAAUCACGACCUGAGCUGAAGUGUAUCCCGUUGAUUGACUUGAGGGUUAUUGAACCACCCCUGCAAUCCAGGAAUAAAACCCACUUGGUUGUGGUGAGUAAUCCUUUAAAUGUACUGUUGGAUCUUGUUGUU
rnacentral:lncRNA from 1 species